GACGUAGGGCGCGAGCGUUGUCCGGAUUUAUUGGGCGUAAAGGGCUCGUAGGCGGCUCGUCGCGUCUGCCGUGAAAGACCAUGGCUUAACUGUGGUUUUGCGGUGGAUACGGGCGGGCUUGAGGCCAGUAGGGGAGAUCGGAAUUCUACGUGUAGCGGUGAAAUGCGCAGAUAUGUGGAGGAACACCGGUGGCGAAGGCGGAUCUCUGGGCUGGUUCUGACGCUGAGGAGCGAAAGCAUGGGGAGCGAAC
rnacentral:rRNA from 1 species